GUUUUAUAACUAGUUGGUUUGGUAGUUUUCGGGCUGCAAGUUUCGGGUGUGUGGGGAAGAAUCG
rnacentral:tRNA from 1 species